rnacentral:lncRNA from 1 species
AGUGUGAAAUACAUGGGAAAUUUGUCUGAAAUGGAUAAUUCUUAUGUUAAUGUCAUUAUUUUGUAGGGGAAGACAGAUAUUCUGGAAUCAAUGAGUCAUAAUUUGUUACAAAGCAUCAUUUUAAAGAGAAUGUGUCUUCUUUUGGGGAUGAAAACCAGUAAUUUAGGGAGAAAUUGCUAUUUGUAGGGAUGAAAAGCAUUAGUUUGGGAUGAAAACCAGUAAUUUAGGGAGAAAGUGCUAUUUGUAGGGAUGAAAAGCGUUAGUUUGGGAGGAAGAAACCAUAGUUUUGCAAGGAUGAAGAGUGAUACCUAAGAGUGUACUUUUCAUUUCUGGGAUAAGUAUUGAUAUUCAUGUGACCUACUUCUAAAAUUUGUCAGAAAUGGAUAUUUCUGUUGGAAAUGUCAUUCUUUUUUAGAUGAAAAGAGUUUAUCUGGAAACAAUGUGUCAUAUUUGGCUACAAACGAUAAUUUUGUAGAGAAAUCCAUUUCUUUUGGUGAUGAAAACCAGUAUUUCUGGGAAACAACGCUAUUUUAAAGGGAAAAAAAGCAUAAUUUUGGUGAGAAAUCCCUUUUUUUGCAAGGAUAAAGAAUGAUUCUUAGGAGAGAACUUUUUAUUUCUGGGAUAGGUACUGAUAUUUGUGUGACUGACAUUCUUCUAAAAUUUGUCAGAAAUCGAUAUUUCUGUUGGAAAUGUCCUUAUUUUGAAGAGGGAAAGAGGUAUUCCAAUAACAGUGUUUCAUAUGUUGCUACAGGGGACCAUUUGUAGAGAAAACGAUUUCUAUUGGGAUGAAAACCACUUUUUUGGGUAGAAAAUGCUACUUGUAAUGAUGAAAAGCUUUGUAUGGUAAGAAAAUGAAUUUUUUGCAAGAUUCAAGAGUGAUACCUAAGAGAGAAGACAUUUUUUUCUGGUGUAAGUCUUGAUAUUAGUGUGAAAUACAUCGGAAAUUUGUCUGAAAUGGAUAAUUCUUAUGUUAAUUCAUUAUUUUGUAGGGGAAGACAGAUAUUCUGGAAUCAAUGUAGUCAUAAUUU